CAGCCGCCGCGGUAAUACGUAGGGGGCGAGCGUUGUCCGGAAUGAUUGGGCGUAAAGGGCGCGUAGGCGGCUGAUUAAGUCUGGAGUGGAAGUCCUAUUUUCAAGGUAGGAAUUGCUUUGGAAACUGAUCAGCUUGAGUGCAGGAGAGGUUAUCGGAAUUCCCGGUGUAGCGGUGAAAUGCGUAGAGAUCGGGAGGAACACCAGUGGCGAAGGCGGGUAACUGGACUGCAACUGACGCUGAGGCGCGAAAGUGUGGGGAGCAAACAGGAUUAGAUACCCUGGUAGUCCACACUGUAAACGAUGAAUGCUAGGUGUAGGGGGUAUCGACCCCUUCUGUGCCGCAGUAAACACAAUAAGCAUUCCGCCUGGGGAGUACGGUCGCAAGAUUAAAACUCAAAGGAAUUGACGGGGGCCCGCACAAGCAGCGGAGCAUGUGGUUUAAUUCGAAGCAACGCGAAGAACCUUACCAGGUCUUGACAUCCAGUAAAAGCUGUAGAGAUACAGUGUGCCUUCGGGCAUACUGAGACAGGAGGUGCAUGGCC
rnacentral:rRNA from 1 species